rnacentral:lncRNA from 1 species
CUCGCCGUCCUCAAUUUUGAUCUUGACUGUAUGCACCUUCUCCGAUAAUGACACAUCAUCUUCCAAUGCUCCCACCGUCUACCAACAGAUACAACUCCUAACCGGCUUCAGAUCGACCACUAACUAUCCAUUGGAAAAAGGCCGCAACAGUCAUAUUUUAAGAUCAUGAACCAAGGAGCCAGCCGCUGGGAUGCGCCUAAACUUGCGACAAUUCUAGACAAAGGACUAAGAUAACUUCUGACAUAGGAGGCAGCAAAUUCAUUUAAAAGUCACAUGAGCCAGAGAGUUGGA